AGGACGAACGCUGGCGGCGCGCCUAACACAUGCAAGUCGAGCGAGAACCGGGACUUCGGUCCCGGGGACAGCGGCGAACGGGUGAGUAACACGUGGAUAACCUGCCCUCGGCACCGGAAUAGCCCGGGGAAACCCGGAUUAAUGCCGGAUAGCCCCACAUCCCUGCGGGGAACGUGGGAAAAGGUAGCUUCGGCCUCUGGCCGAGGAUGGGUCCGCGGUGGAUUAGCUUGUUGGUGCGGGUAAUGGCCCACCAAGGCGACGAUCCAUAGCUGGUCUGAGAGGACGAUCAGCCACACUGGGACUGAGACACGGUCCAGACUCCUACGGGAGGCAGCAGUGGGGAAUAUUGGACAAUGGGGGAAACCCUGAUCCAGCAACGCCGCGUGGAGGAUGAAGGUCUUCGGAUUGUAAACUCCCGUUAGGGGGACGAAGGGAUGUCGGUGAAUAGCCGGCAGACUUGACGGUACCCCCAGAGGAAGCCCCGGCUAACUCUGUGCCAGCAGCCGC
rnacentral:rRNA from 1 species